CACACACACACACACACACACUCCCCCACUUUUCUUUUUUUUUCACGGGUGAUGAUGCUCUUCCAUGCAUAUGCACAGCUACAGUACUGUCACGAGCGCUACGGGUGUUUAGGGGGGAAAAAAACCCUCGCCAUGGCGUUUCAGCCUCCAGAGACUCGCUGCUUUACUAUAAAUAUCUGUAAAGAUCCGCUGACCAAGCCUGUAGAUGAAAGGAGGAUAAAUACAGACUGAAAGCGUGAAUAAAAAAAGAAAAGAAAAGAAAAAAGAAGAGAAGCUCGAUAUUUCCGCCGCUUGCCUGUUAAAAGCAGAUGGUGUGAGUGCGCGCGCGCUGUUACUUCAACCACGCUGAACGCUCUCGAGCUUUGAAGAGGAGUCGAUUUCUGUGGAGAAGAUUCUGACUCUGCAAAGAUGAUUCUUCUCUUUGAGAAAAAAAAUUCAAAACACUCUUGAGGAGAUUCUGACACUCUGAAGAACACGCAAAUGCUCUGGAGAAGAUGCUAAAGCUCUACAGAAGAUUCAUAAACUUUGAAGAUGAUCCAAAAGCUUUGAAGAACUCUGGAGAAGAUUCUAGCACUCUAAAGAUGAUCUGUAAACUCUAGAGAAGAUCCUGAAGCUCUGCAGAAGACUCAUAAACUCUGGAGAAGAUCCUAAGGCUCUGUAGAUGAUUCAUUAACUCUGGAGAAAGUCUUAAAGCUCUACAGAAGAUUCAUAAACCCUGAAGAAGACCUUAAAGCUAUGAAGAACUCUGGAGAAGAUUCUAGAAGAAGAUUUGUAAACUUUGGAGAAGAUCCUAAAGCUCUGGAGAAGAUUCAUAAACUCUGGAGAAGACCCUAAAGCUUUGAAGAAGAGCUCUGGAGAAGAUUCACUGAAAAAGUCUUGACCAUGUUGCAAGAGGAAGAAGAUUCAAAUGGUUUGAAGAAUUCUGAAUAUAACGUUUAUAUCAUGAAGCUAAAACUCACAUUAUGUGCCAUAAUGGAGGAAAUAUUCGUAGCUGGAGCUGGUGGAGUCGUUCUUCUCACGAGUAAGUCUUUUAAGCCUGGGAAGAUGACUGCUGAACAUUCUAGAGAGACUCACUGAAGACUGAAGACUCAGUGAAGGAGAUUCAAAUUCUAAAAAUGAUUCUGAAGAGUCAAAAUAAACAAAAUGAUUUUCUAUAAAACAUUUCAGGAUGCUUAAUUACUGCAUUUGAACUUAUUUAAACGAUUAAAAAUGAAUUAAAAAAAUUAUAUUAUUUUUAAAGAUUCAUACUGUACUGAAGACCAACAAAAAUAUAAGAUUGAUUGUUCCCUAAUGCAUCCAUAAGAAUGUAUUAUUAUUAUUAUUAUUAUUAUUAUUAUUAUUAUUAUUAUUAUUAUUAUUAUUGCUAUUAUUUUAUUUUUAUAUUAUUAUUAUUAUUAUUAUUAUUAUAAGCAGUAGCAUGAGUGCCGUUAUUUAUAUUUGCCUGAACUUGCUCCAAAACACACAAAUGAACAUCUCAUCUUUUCAUAACACUCGUUUAAUCUCCAGCCUUUUCUGUCGCUCUUUGAAGCCUAUUCAGUCUUACAAGUGCAGACCAUCAGGGCCUAAAGAAUAAAAGGUUGUGAGAGGUCAGAGGUCACGGCGUCAUGACCUCUCAUAUUUGCAUGGUCCAUGGUCCAUAGUCCUACUAAAGGGGAUUUCGAUCAAAAUGGUGGCAAAUAUUGAGGUGAGAAAAAUAAUUUAGGACAUGUGUGUGUUUUAAAAUACACAAAAGAAUUAAAUGAUGUCAAAUGAAAUAAAAUAGAAAUGAAUCUGCAUUUGUUUUCUCAGAAAGGAAAUGUUUUCCUUCUCAUAUCUACACUUGUAAUAAUAUUUCUCUGAUCAUUUGACCUUUUGUGUUUACCUUCACCUUCUCGCCUCACUGACCAUCGAACCCCUUUACGAUCAUUUACGUCGUAUUAAUUCCACAGAUGUUCCAACCCUGUUUUUUUUUCAUCCCUCCUUGUUUUAUAACCGGUUUGCAAAUGAAUGACCGGCCUGUGAGAGCGAGCGUAUCGACUCCUCCUGUUAAAGCGAGGAUUUAAUCCUCAGCACAUUAAAGCCUCUCAGCAGGCCUGCAGUUGUAAGUCGGCCUAAAUGUAAGUGUAAAUAUGUCUCCAACCUGCGACUAUAAACACGAUCCAUUCUAAGUGAUGGUCAUAUUGAUUUCUUCAUUCCGAGUGAUUGAAGCCGUGCUUAGAAAGCUGGAGUUAAUUAAUAACUAGCCACGGUUUGCAUACACACACACACACACACACACACACUGCAUCUUGCGGUAUCCUCUUUCUUAAUUAAAGUGUUUCAACAUCAUUCGUUUUUCCAUUAAUAUUCCAUAAAAUGUGUUGGAUUUGAUUUUUCAAAAAUUAACUGCUCUGUGUGUGUGUGUGUGGUUUACCUUUUUUGCAUACAGUGUGUGUGCGUUUGACUGGUGACCUUUGGCCCCUAGCCUUUGACCCCUUUAUCACAGACCACCAAACACGUACCUUCCAGCACCGGUCAGCUUUUCUUUUUUUUUUUUUGCAAAUCUCAGCCAGUGUUGCACAAGACCAGGCCGAGGACAUUUAAUAGAUAAUAGAAUAUGAUAGAAUAUAAUAUUUAUUUAAUAUGUUUUUGUUUGACAGUUUAAUUGUUUGUUUAUUUAAAAAAAUAACUGUGGCUUAUUAAAAAAAACUAAUAUUUUUGUUAUAAAUAAUAUAUAUACAUACACACAUUCUUAAUUUGUGUAAUAAAGUCUGUCCACCAUAGAGGGAGAGAGAGAGACAGAGAGAGAGAGAGAGGGAGAGAGAGAGAGAUAUUAAGUAAAAUAGGAAGAUAGAGAGACAUAGAGACAGUAGGGCAGAAAGUAAACAAUGAAACAAAGAAACAGAAAGUGAGACAGACAGACAGAGAGACAGACAGUAAUUAAGAUAUUGGGACAGAUAGAGGGACAGAUAGAGGGAUUAUAUAGACAGAUAAAGAGACAGACAGUGAAAGACAUAGAGACAGACAGACAAUAAAUGAGAUAUUCAGACAGGCAGUGAGACAGAUAGAGGGGUAUAUAGACAGACAGUAAGACAGACAGUGAAAUACAGAGAGACAGACAGACAGAAAUGAAAUAUUCAGACAGAGCGGCAGAUAGAGGGGUAUAUAGACAGACAGUAAAAGACAAACAGACAGAAAAUUAGAUAUUAUGACAGAUAGAAAGGCAGAUAGAAGGAUAUAUAGACAGACAGUGAGACAGACAGUGCAAUAGAUAUUAAGAAUUAAGAAAACAGACAGACAGUAAGAAAGAGACAGUAAUUGUCAUAGUGAGACAGAUAAAGAGAGAGAGAGAGAGAGAGAGAGAGUAAGUGUGAAAGUGAGACAGGUAGAGAUAGAGACGGGUGCACUGUGGAAGAUUUGAGACUCACAGACAAUGAAAGAGACAGACAGACAGCGCAGAAGACUGCAUACAGAAAAAAAAGAGAGACAGUGUGUUAGUGAGACAGAUAGAGAGAGAGACAGGUAGACAGUGGAAGAUGCAGACAGACAGGUAAUAAAAAAGACAGACAGACAUUGAGACUCACAGACAAUGAAAGUGACAGACAGACAGACAGGAGAAAGAUGGCAGGAAGCUAUACACACAGAGAGAGAGAGAGAGACAGAGAGAGAGACAGUGAAGAAAAGCAGACAGUUAUGAAGACCUGCAGCGAGACAGUGAGAAUUUUAGCUCAUCUUUCCCUCAUGAUGUUGGAAAUCACUGCUAAAAAAUAAUAAUUGUAAUAAUAUGAAAAUAAAUUCUCAGCGUUUAAUAUCGCCGUGUUUUUCUGAGGCCAUGAGCAGGAUUUGGGAGUAAUUAAUAAUUCCUCAGGAAGUCUCGGUGUCUCUUCAUGUUGUUGCCUUGUGUUUUUCCUCCUCACACACUCACUGCUCCUUCCUCCCGGAUCCCCACAGGCCGCUCUCAGCAAGCCCCGGCGUAUCGAUUAGCCUCAGCCCACGUUUGCAUAAUUUCUGUUUGGGAGUCAGAAACACUCUUUAUCGCCUCGGCUUCUACCCCGACUCGUGUGUGUGUGUGUGUGUGAGCGAGCGGGAAUGUGUGUGAGUCAGGCCAUGCUGCUCGGUGAGGCUUCAGGAGCCAUUGCGCCGCUCAAACAGCUGAUUAGCAUCUAACACACUGACCUUUACUGUGGAGGCAAAGCUGGAGAAAUGUGAUUAAAUAAAAAUUGGUCAGAGGUCAUGGCAGGCACGUGGUUUACAAAAAAGAAAAGAGGCCAGAUACCAGAUUUGCUGAGUGUGUUCACGAAGAUCAUCAUCAUCAUCAACAACAACAACAACAACAACAACAGCACUAUUUUGAAAGGGAGCAAAGUGCAGUACAUUGUUAAAUAUAUAUAUAAUUAUUUGUGCAAAAUAACUGAUGGUCUUAUUUUAAAUGUGAAUCUUUUUUGCUAAAGGCGUUUUGCGUCUGCUAUUAAACGCCUUAGCUUUUUGGAAUUAUGACAUAAGAAGAUUAAAAACAGAGUGUUUCUCUCUCUCUCUCUCUCUCUCUCUCUCUCUCUUUUAAAGGUAAUCAAUAAAGCCGCCUCUCUCUCUUCCCCGCUCGAAUCAUGGAUUCCCGAUACGGCAUCGCUCCUAUUAUUGUUUUUAAUUGAUGUUUCUUGUUUUAAAUCAUAUUAGAAAGUAUCCUUGAAAGAAAUACCACCCAAAAAAGUGUACACUCGGCACACAGCUUAAUGGCGAGGUAUUGACCAGGCCCGUUGAAGAGGGAGUUGUAUAAUGGUGAUUUAUGGCAUCUGUAAACAAAACACAGAGGAGAUGCAUCGGCUCCGAGGGACCACAGCGACGGCUGUUAGGGAACUAACAUCAUGUUUAAAGGACAUCUCUAACCACAGAAAGAACAGGGCUUUAGCCGACUGAACAGAUGUUAGUGUACCUUUUGGUGUGUGUGUGUGUGUGUGUGUGUGUAUGAGUAACAGAACACAGAACAUCAUGAGAAAAAAGACAAUAAAAUUUAAAAACAUGUCCUACAUGGGAAAAAUGUCCAUAAAUAAAUUACAUGUGGAAAUAAAUUAAUUUAUGUAAAAAAUAAAAAAAAAAGAUGUGGAAAUAGUAA